rnacentral:rRNA from 1 species
UGGGGAAUCUUGGACAAUGGGCGCAAGCCUGAUCCAGCCAUGCCGCGUGAGUGACGAAGGCCUUAGGGUUGUAAAGCUCUUUUGGCGGGGAAGAUAAUGACGGUACCCGCAGAAUAAGCUCCGGCUAACUUCGUGCCAGCAGCCGCGGUAAUACGAAGGGAGCUAGCGUUGUUCGGAAUCACUGGGCGUAAAGCGCACGUAGGCGGAUUGUUUAGUCAGGGGUGAAAUCCCGGGGCUCAACCUCGGAACUGCCUUUGAUACUGGCAAUCUCGAGUCCGAUAGAGGUGGGUGGAAUUCCUAGUGUAGAGGUGAAAUUCGUAGAUAUUAGGAAGAACACCGGUGGCGAAGGCGGCCCACUGGAUCGGUACUGACGCUGAGGUGCGAAAGCGUGGGGAGCAAACAGGAUUAGAUACCCACGUAGUCCCUGAGCGGGCUGGCAAGGCGCAU